UAGAGAGAGACAUGCGCGCAUAUCAAUAAGCGGAGGAAAAGAAACUAACAAGGAUUCCCUUAGUAACGGCGAGUGAAGCGGGAAGAGCUCAAAUUUGAAAUCUUCAAGGUUUUACCUUGACGAAUUGUAGUUUAAAGAAGUGUUUUCUGCUGAAGUUUUGGUAAAAGUUCUUUGGAAUAGGACAUCAUAGAGGGGUGAGAAUCCCGUAUUUGACCAUUAUUUUCAGCUUUGUGAUACACUUUCAAAGAGUCGGAUUGUUUGGGAAUGCAGUCCAAAAUGGGUGGUAAAUUUCAUCUAAAGCUAAAUAUUGGCGAGAGACCGAUAGCGAACAAGUACCGUGAGGGAAAGAUGAAAAGAACUUUGAAAAGAGAGUUAAACAGUACGUGAAAUUGUCAAAAGGGAAGCGUUUGACACCAGUGUUGUUUUCUCGAAAAUCAAUUAAAAAUGGCUCGAUUUUGUAUUGCUUGAGACCUUAAAAGCUCACUGUACAUUUUUCGUGUCUUUUUUAAUGCACUUUUCGUUUAACAAGUCAACAUCAAUUUCUUUUGUUGUAAAAGGGUCAUUGGAAGGUGGCUUUCUUUUCGGAGAAAGUGUUUAUAGCCUUUGGCCUCUGCAAUCGGAGAGACUGAGGUCCGCAGCGUAGACUCUUCGGGGUUAGAUACAUUUGUGCUAAGUUAUAGCCUUUUAUAGACAACUUGUUGACUAUAAUUAGUCUUGUAGCUUACUCGCUUAUGCUAUUUUACCUACGCUUAGGAUGUUGAAGUCAUCGUAUCGCGC
rnacentral:rRNA from 1 species